GUUUUGAAUGCAUUCACCUAUGCGGUUAUUCUGAAGACACAAAAAGAAACACGGAGAAGGAUUUAUCUUGUUGACUCCUUUCAAAUGACUGCAAUAUGGCAAGGAUCAUUCCGGGGAUUAAGAAAGCUUGACCCAAUGGCCUAUGAUGUCCUCAUAGGACCAGUAUGUGACAAACAGCACUGGACACUAGUGGUAAUUUAUCCAAAGGAGAAGCAUGCCCUAUACCUUGACCCUCUGGGGUAAACCCCUGACAACAUAAAAAAAAUGCAGAGAUAUGA